UACGUAGGGUGCGAGCGUUGUCCGGAUUUAUUGGGCGGAGAGAGCGUGUAGGCGGCCAGAUAGGUCUGGUGUGAAAACUCGAGGCUUAACCUCGAGAUGUCAUCGGAAACCAUCUGGCUAGAGUCCGGAAGAGGAGAGUGGAAUUCCCGGUGUAGCGGUGAAAUGCGCAGAUAUCGGGAAGAACACCCGUGGCGAAGGCGGUUCUCUGGGACGGUACUGACGCUGAGACGCGAAAGCGUGGGGAGCGAACAGG
rnacentral:rRNA from 1 species